rnacentral:rRNA from 1 species
CCUACGGGAGGCAGCAGUGAGGAAUAUUGGUCAAUGGGCGCAAGCCUGAACCAGCCAAGUAGCGUGAAGGAUGAAUGCCCUACGGGUUGUAACCUUCUUUUAUAAAGGAAUAAAGUCAGGCACGUGUGCCUUUUUGUAUGUACUUUAUGAAUAAGGAUCGGCUAACUCCGUGCCAGCAGCCGCGGUAAUACGGAGGAUGCGAGCGUUAUCCGGAUUUAUUGGGUUUAAAGGGAGCGUAGAUGGGUCGUUAAGUCAGUUGUGAAAGUUUGCGGCUCAACCGUAGAAGUGCAAUUGAUACUGGCAGACUUGAGUACAGGUGAGGUAGGCGGAAUUCGUGGUGUAGCGGUGAAAUGCGUAGAUAUCACGAAGAACUCCGAUUGCGAAGGCAGCUUACUAGACUGCCACUGACAUUGAUGCUCGAAAGUGUGGGUAUCAAACAGGAUUAGAUACCCGAGUAGUC